GAUGAACGCUGGCGGCGUGCCUAAUACAUGCAAGUCGAGCGAACGGACGAGAAGCUUGCUUCUCUGAUGUUAGCGGCGGACGGGUGAGUAACACGUGGAUAACCUACCUAUAAGACUGGGAUAACUUCGGGAAACGGUAGCUAAUACCGGAUAAUAUUUUGAACCGCAUGGUUCAAAAGUGAAAGACGGUCUUGCUGUCCCUUAUAGAUAGAUCCGCGCUGCAUUAGCUAGUUGGUAAGGUAACGGCUUACCAAGGCAACGAUUCAUAGCCGACCUGAGAGGGUGAUCGGCCACACUGGAACUGAGACACGGCCCAGACUCCUACGGGAGGCAGCAGUAGGGAAUCUUGCGCAAUGGGCGAAAGCCUGACGGAGCAACGCCGCGUGAGUGAUGAAGGUCUUCGGAUCGUAAAACUCUGUUAUUAGGGAAGAACAUAUGGGUAAGUAACUGUGCACAUCUUGACGGUACCUAAUCAGAAAGCCACGGCUAACUACGUG
rnacentral:rRNA from 1 species